rnacentral:misc_RNA from 1 species
GGAUCCUCGAAGGUAUGAUGACAGCAGUUCUGAUGAUGACGAUCACCGGAGAGAGAACCGGGACAGGAAGAGAGAAAGAAAUCGCAGGUCAGAUGGUGGUAACAGCCCCCUGCUGCGAAAGCAGGAUAGAGAAAACCACAACGAUGACCGGGAUCUGGGAGAAGCGAAGCAGAGAGAGGCAGGUAACAAUGUGAGGAAGGAAGAAGCCUUGCCUCCUCCACCACCACUUCCGCCAAUGAGGAACGACGAUAGAGAUAGAGAG